AUUGAACGCUGGCGGCAUGCCUUACACAUGCAAGUCGAACGGUAACAGAUCUUCGGAUGCUGACGAGUGGCGAACGGGUGAGUAAUACAUCGGAACGUGCCUAGUAGUGGGGGAUAACUACUCGAAAGAGUGGCUAAUACCGCAUGAGAUCUACGGAUGAAAGCAGGGGAUCGCAAGACCUUGUGCUACUAGAGCGGCCGAUGGCAGAUUAGGUAGUUGGUGGGAUAAAAGCUUACCAAGCCGACGAUCUGUAGCUGGUCUGAGAGGACGAUCAACCACACUGGGAGUGAGACACGGCCCAGACGCCUACGGGAGGCAGGAGUGGGGAAUUUUGGACAAUGGGCGCAAGCCUGAUCCAGCAAUGCCGCGUGCAGGAUGAAGGCCUUCGGGUUGUAAACUGCUUUUGUACGGAACGAAAAGCCCUGGGUUAAUACCCUGGGGUCAUGACGGUACCGUAAGAAUAAGCACCGGCUAACUACGUGCCAGCCGCCGCCGUAAAAC
rnacentral:rRNA from 1 species